CAAACAAACAGUGACGUCCAGAGCUCUGCUGGAGCUGUGGGGAAGUUCAUGAAUGUUACAGCUGAUGUUUCAGAAAAAAAGGAAGAUGUUUGAGAACCAACAAAACACAGAGCACAGAUGAACAAAGGUGAUGUGGCACUAGGAGACUUUAUACCAGAUGCCCUCCCUGUUACUGCGUUUAGAGGAAGAAAAGCAGCACAUGAGACCAGAGCUUCUUCACUGGAAUAAAUCUUCACACUGUCCAGCUCCAAACUGUG